GGAGAGGGCAGACGCGAUCCCGGGGCAGGCUGGGAGAUGUAGUUCCUGAUGCUCCCUGGACCGGAAGUGACGUUGAUGGAGAGACCAAACCGAUCUGCAAACGCGCGCGAGCCGCUGCGGCUCUGCCUGGCUCGCGCGGGGCCGUUGGAGCCUCUCCCGGGCCGCAGAAGGGUGUGUGACUGAGAUCAGGACUCUUAUCGUACUGAGCGUGGCCCUGUUCUCCAGGCGCUGCAGAGACCCCAGCUUUCAAGGACAUGCAGCUUUUCUUGUAUGAUGUUCCUGUCCUCCUCCGUAUUGGCAAUCCCUCCCGGCUCUGUGUCCCACUCCCACUUCUUGUGCCAAGAUCAC